rnacentral:rRNA from 1 species
GACGAACGCUGGCGGCGUGCUUAACACAUGCAAGUCGAGCGGAGCGGCGAACGGGUGUGUAACGCGUGAGUAACUGCCCCCCUCUCUGGGAUGACAGAUGGAAACGGCUGCUAAUACCGGAAAGCGGGGGAUGACUCGCGUCCUAUCGACUUGUUGUUGGGGUAGUGGCCUACCAAGGAGACGACGGGUAGCCGGCCUGAGAGGGCGACCGGCCACAUUGGACUGAGAUACGGCACAAACACCUACGGGAGGCAGCAGGCGGGAAUAUUGCACAAAGGGGGAAACCCUAAUGCAGCAACGCGAGUGCGGUAUGACGGCCGUCGGAUUGUAAGCCGCUUUCAGCCAUGACGCGGUAGUGGCAGAAGAAGCACCUGCUAACUACGUGCCAGCCGCCGCGGUAAUUC